rnacentral:rRNA from 1 species
GGAAAAGAAANUAACAAGGAUUCCCCUAGUAACUGMGAGUGAAGCGGGAAGAGCUCAAAUUUGAAAUCUGGCGGUUCCGCCGUCCGAGUUGUAAUCUGGAGAAGCGUUUUCCGUGCCGGACCGUGUACAAGUCCCUUGGAACAGGGCGUCAUAGAGGGUGAGAAUCCCGUCUUUGACACGGACUCCCGGUGCUCUGCGAUGCGCUCUCGAAGAGUCGAGUUGUUUGGGAAUGCAGCUCAAAAUGGGUGGUAAAUUCCAUCUAAAGCUAAAUAUUGGCGAGAGACCGAUAGCGAACAAGUACCGUGAGGGAAAGAUGAAAAGCACUUUGGAAAGAGAGUAAAACAGUACGUGAAAUUGUUGAAAGGGAAACGCUUGAAGUCAGUCGCGUCUUCUGGGACUCAGCCUUGCUCUGCUCGGUGCACUUCCCAGUUUGACGGGUCAGCAUCGGCUCUGGGGGGCGGACAAAGGCGCGGGGAAGGUGGCAGCUCCGGCUGCGUUAUAGCCCCGCGUUACGCGUCCCCCGGGACCGAGGAAUCCGGCGCUCGCGCCUGGGAUGCUGGCGYAAUGGCUUUAAACGACCCGUCU